rnacentral:rRNA from 1 species
UAGGGAAUCUUCGGCAAUGGACGAAAGUCUGACCGAGCAACGCCGCGUGAGUGAAGAAGGUUUUCGGAUCGUAAAACUCUGUUGUUAGAGAAGAACAAGGACGUUAGUAACUGAACGUCCCCUGACGGUAUCUAACCAGAAAGCCACGGCUAACUACGUUCCAGCAGCCGCGGUAAUACGUAGGUGGCAAGCGUUGUCCGGAUUUAUUGGGCGUAAAGCGAGCGCAGGCGGUUUCUUAAGUCUGAUGUGAAAGCCCCCGGCUCAACCGGGGAGGGUCAUUGGAAACUGGGAGACUUGAGUGCAGAAGAGGAGAGUGGAAUUCGAUGUGUAGCGGUGAAAUGCGUAGAUAUAUGGAGGAACACCAGUGGCGAAGGCGGCUCUCUGGUCUGUAACUGACGCUGAGGCUCGAAAGCGUGGGGAGCAAACAGG